AACACAAAAUAAAACCAACAUUGCCUCUCCCUAUUGCAUAUCGAGAAAACUUGUUAACCCUCCAUGUUUUCCCUUAUUAUCUACUUUUCAACAGCCUCACUUAGCCUCCCCGAUCAACGCCAAAUACGAAACCGAACCCACAUGUGUUAUCAUGUUCAUCUCGCGUCCCCUAACGGUAGUCGACGACCUCAACAUCGUAGAAACCUUCACACAUCGCUGAGAUUUUGGCGACAACCAUUGCCGCACACGACCGCCACCGCAGCCAUUAUCUUUACAGCACCAACUAACGUCCGCGACCCUACUGCAGGUUAUAACGACCCCUUUUAAGGAACGAGUCUGACUUCGUGAAUCGUCGUUUAAGGUAAUCUGGGAGACCUGGGAAUUCAGUGAGGAGCGUUAAACAUAAGUUGAAGGACCUUAGGUAAUUUAUGGAGCUUGCACAAGGAGGAGCAGGUCGUUGUGGACAAGGAUCCUUGAAUGCUUACUAAACACUUAUGAUAUUUCAUACGUUAACACUUAUGUUUGGGUUUUACUUAAAUGCUUCCGCUACAUAUACAAUGUUUGGUUUUGAACAUCAAUUAUGUCUAUGGUUGUUAUUAAA